ensembl:snoRNA
UUGGCCCUGAAUCAAGGCCAGCAGUUUGCUGAAGCUGUUGGUUUCAAGCAGGAGCCUAAAGAAUUAUCUUUCUAUGGUCUGUUGGCCAUUUCAGAACUUUGAAAAUGUAAUGGUCAAUUCAUUAGAAAGAAACAGUA